rnacentral:rRNA from 2 species
CAAUCAAACCGGGAGAUAGCUGGUUCUCCCCGAAAGCUAUUUAGGUAGCGCCUCGUGAAUUCAUCUCCGGGGGUAGAGCACUGUUUCGGCUAGGGGGCCAUCCCGGCUUACCAACCCGAUGCAAACUGCGAAUACCGGAGAAUGUUAUCACGGGAGACACACGGCGGGUGCUAACGUCCGUCGUGAAGAGGGAAACAACCCAGACCGCCAGCUAAGGUCCCAAAGUCAUGGUUAAGUGGGAAACGAUGUGGGAAGGCCCAGACAGCCAGGAUGUUGGCUUAGAAGCAGCCAUCAUUUAAAGAAAGCGUAAUAGCUCACUGGUCGAGUCGGCCUGCGCGGAAGAUGUAACGGGGCUAAACCAUGCACCGAAGCUGCGGCAGCGAACGUAUCACCCAAGACAACUUUACGGAGUUGACGAUUGACGGAGCGAAGCGACGUCAAAGCGUUCAUUAAAGUCGAGUUGGCUUAGGGAUACGUUCGUUGGGUAGGGGAGCGUUCUGUAAGCCUGUGAAGGUGUGUCGUGAGGCAUGCUGGAGGUAUCAGAAGUGCGAAUGCUGACAUAAGUAACGAUAAAGCGGGUGAAAAGCCCGCUCGCCGGAAGACCAAGGGUUCCUGUCCAACGUUAAUCGGGGCAGGGUGAGUCGACCCCUAAGGCGAGGCCGAAAGGCGUAGUCGAUGGGAAACGGGUUAAUAUUCCCGUACUUGGUGUUACUGCGAAGGGGGGACGGAGAAGGCUAUGUUGGCCGGGCGACGGUUGUCCCGGUUUAAGCGUGUAGGUGUGUGUUCCAGGUAAAUCCGGUUCACUUUAACACUGAGGC